rnacentral:lncRNA from 1 species
CUUUUCAAGAAAAUUGCAUUUUAAGGUGAUGCUCUUCAUUACUAGAAUCGGGGAAGAAAAAAGGAGCUUGGAUUUACUUCACUCAGCAGUCCAGCUUCAAAGACUCACAAGGCAGGGAAAAAUCCACUUGACUGGCAGUCUGGCAUAAAGGGAAGAUAUUAAAGAAAAUUUCGGGCAGUCUUGCCGUGGAAGAGGAGUGUGCUCUGCUAGAGAAAUAAAGGCUCUACAGCCAUCA